GCUCUCUUGGCUUAGUGGUAGAGCGCGUGAUAUACACGCAGUUACGGAUCACUGUAACCUCGUUCUGGCUUCGGCUGGGACAGAGUUCGUAAUCUUAGGGCUGUAACUAUCACGAGAUCCUCGGUUCGAAUCCGAGAGGGAGCG